UUUUUGACCAUCUUUUUUGAAGAUAAAUUGUUGUUGUUGUUUAUUUUAGUGGCUUUUUGUUGUGCCACACAGCACAAUUCACUUCGCCAAAGACGCGUUGUUUGGAGAAAACACAAAGGAGGCUGAACAGUUUAUUUACACCCAAGUCUUUUCUGGACAAUCCCAGUCCGAUUUGUGGUAACUGGACUAGAUGGGUUAUGAUGUUAGUAAAUAACCUACAACAACACAAAAAAA